AGGCUCUUGAGAGAGGAGAGGAGUUGGCAGAGUUGCCACCCGGUUCACGAACAGGAACAGAAGCCACCAGCACAUGACAUUGCCCAAGUCACCCAGAGAUCAGAGUGGAAGAGUCCUAAUUACUGGGCGGCCCGCCCCCGGGAUGUGCCUCUCCCAUCCCUCUCCAGGCGGGGCUCGUGGCUAAGCAGCGACUCAUCCUACCAGCCUGUCAGAGGCCAAGAGCAGCCAACAACUCCGCAGGCGACAAUGGCCGCUGCACCCCAGGCGCUGGGUCCCAGCUUAGAGCCUGGGAUGCAGUGUCGGGAGACGCGGUGCCCAGAGCAUCCAGUAGGUGUCGCUGUCCCGCGGCCGCCGCGCGCCCUUGGGGGUGGGGAGCCGGGGCGUGUCUGCCUCACCUGGGGCUCCCGGCUCGCGCGCCUCACCUGGACUCGCGCCCCUUGCCGCCCGCGCAGCGAGGGGCGCUCUCCCGCGGCUGGGUCCCCUCCUCCGCCCCAAGAGCUCGGGCUGCAGUGCUGCUCGCGCUGCGCGUGGUGCUAGUUCUGCAACCCGCUGCCGUCCCCGCAUCCGCGACGAGGGGCGGGGUCCCACGGCGCGCUGGGAAAGUCUGGGGCGCUGGCGCCCAGGUGUGUUCUUCCACAGGGCCCGGGCGGCAGAGAGGAUCGCGUCCCGGCAGUCGCAGCGGGAGGAGGACAAGACGAUGCCGCUGUCCCCGCCAGCCCAGGGCGACCCCGGGGAGCCCAGCCAGUGCAGGCCCCCUAAGAAGCAUACCACCUUCCACCUCUGGCGCUCCAAAAAGAAGCAGCAGCCGGCGCCGCCUGACUGUGGGGUGUUCGUUCCGCACCCGCUCCCGGCGCCUGCCGGGGAGGCCAGAGCUUUGGAGCUAGUAGAUGGAAGACAUGUGGUUCGAGAGUCCCAGGAAUUUCCACUGCACUGUGGGGAUUCCCAGUUCUUCCACACCACCAGUGAGGCGCUUGGUUCCUUACUUCUAGAGUCUGGAAUAUUUAAAAAGGUAAUGCUUCGUUUCUAAUGUUUGACUCCCGAGAAUAAACCCUUCAAAGAGUUAAAGCACUGUAAGAUAGCCUAAGAAACACAU
rnacentral:lncRNA from 1 species